rnacentral:rRNA from 1 species
UACAGAGGUCUCAAGCGUUGUUCGGAUUCAUUGGGCGUAAAGGGUGUGUAGGUGGCGCGCUAAGUCGGGGUGUGAAAUUUCGGAGCUUAACUCCGAAACUGCAUUCGAUACUGGCGUGCUUGAGGACUGGAGAGGAGACUGGAAUUUACGGUGUAGCGGUGAAAUGCGUAGAUAUCGUAAGGAAGACCAGUGGCGAAGGCGGGUCUCUGGACAGUUCCUGACGCUGAGGGCACGAAGGUCAGGGGAGCAAACGGG